rnacentral:rRNA from 1 species
AUACUUAGGGUGCAAGCGUUAAUCGGAAUUACUGGGCGUAAAGCGCUCGUAGGCGGCUUGUUAAGUCGGAUGUGAAAGCCCUGGGCUCAACCUGGGAAUGGCAUUCGAUACUGCAGAGCUAGAGUAUGGUAGAGGCAAGUGGAAUUCCGGGUGUAGCGGUGAAAUGCGUAGAUAUCCGGAGGAACAUCAGUGGCGAAGGCGACUUGCUGGACUAAUACUGACGCUGAGGAGCGAAAGCGUGGGGAGCAAACGGGAUUAGAAACCCCAGUAGUCC